rfam:Schistosoma curassoni strain Dakar, Senegal genome assembly, scaffold: SCTD_contig0022873
AUCCAGAUAACGAGUCCCAAAUAGGACGAAGCGUCUGGCGUCCUGAAU